UGGGCGGGGCCAGCACCAAGCUGCUCACCGCCAGGUGUGUCCCGCUCUGGGUCGGCGCGCGGGGGGUGGAGUUCGACUGGAGGCACCUCCAGAUGGGGCUGGACUCCAACAUCAGCCUGGUGCGCCACGUGGCCGCGGCCGCGCUGCUCUGGG